GGCCUGGCCGGGCGGUCCGCCUAACGGUGUGUACUGUCUGGCCGGGUCUUACCUCUUGGUGAGCCGGCAUGCCCUUCACUGGGUGUGUCGGGGAACCAGGAUUUUUACCUUGAGAAAAUUAGAGUGUUCAAAGCAGGCCUAUGCCCGAAUACAUUAGCAUGGAAUAAUAGAAUAGGACUU
rnacentral:rRNA from 1 species